AUUGAACGCUGGCGGCAGGCCUAACACAUGCAAGUCGAACGGCAGCGGGAAGUAGCUUGCUACUUUGCCGGCGAGUGGCGGACGGGUGAGUAAUGUCUGGGAAACUGCCUGCUGGAGGGGGAUAACUACUGGAAACGGUGGCUAAUACCGCAUGACGUCGCAAGACCAAAGAGGUGGACCUUCGGGCCUCUUGCCAUCUGAUGUGCCCAGAUGGGAGGAGCUAGAAGGCGGGGUAAUGGCCCACCUAGGCGACGAUCCCUAGCUGGUCUGAGAGGAUGACCAGCCACACUGGGAAGGAGACACGGCACAGACUCCUACGGGAGGCAGCAGUGGGGAAUAUUGCACAAUGGGCGCAAGCCUGAUGCAGCCAUGCCGCGUGUGUGAAGAAGGCCUUCGGGUUGUAAAGCACUUUCAGCGAGGAGGAAGGGGUUGAACUUAAUACGUUCAAUCAUUGACGUUACUCGCAGAAGAAGCACCGGCUAACUCCGUGCCAGCCGCCGCGGUAA
rnacentral:rRNA from 1 species